ensembl:lncRNA LINC01094 long intergenic non-protein coding RNA 1094
GCCUCCCAAAGGAAAACGUGGAUCUACUUACCAACGCAGAAAAUGAUACACACGGAUUCGAUUUAGGCACGCUACAUUCAAAUGACUUGGAAGAGCAGGUUCUCUGAGCCAGGAUACUAAAGUCCCUGUUUAGGAAAGAGCCACGUUGUAUGUUUACCCUACCACAAAGAUACAGUCAUGUGCCUGGGAAAGAUUGAUGCCAGCUCCAGAAAGGCAUCCGAAUGGUCUAAAAUUCUGGAGGAAAGUGGCUCUGGGAAUUGAACAGUGGCUCAGUGAUGUUGGGGCCACCAAGUCUGCAAUUCUCCCUACCUGUUCUUCAUGGUUGUAAGAUGACUGCUGCAAUUCUCGGCAUCAUGUGCAUGUUAAUGUCAGGAGGAAGAAAGGAAGAGGGAGCACUGGGAUGUUACAUUCAUUUUGUCAGGAAAAGCAAAGCCUUUCCAGACAGCUCCGAAACUUGCUUACCUCUCAUUGGCCAGCACCAUCACUUGACCACUUGUCCACUCCUAGCUGCAAGGAAAGUGGCAAAGUAGAAGGUAUUUGAGAAUGUCUGCUGGGUUAGCCAAAACAAUAGUGACUUCUACACCCAAUUUUCUGGGCACUGCAGAAGUAUCCUUGAGUCCUAUGUGAUCAGAGGGAGAGCAAACCUCAAUAAUGAAACAGAUUCAAUUUCCAUCACCCAGUGAGACACCAUGGGAUUAGAAUAAAUUUUUAAAAAAACAAAUUGAAAAAAAUGCAUUUUUAAAACAACAAAAUCAGAAAGGAUGAAAGGUGAUAUUUCUAGCAUAUCAGUUUGUGGUGGUAAAUUAAUUACCUUAUACAAAGGCCUCAGUGACUUUCUUCUCCUUACCUAACGAAUCAUCUUUAAAAUAAGUAAAAUAAAGAAACAAGAGCAGCAGCAGAUGCUUCCUAAAAAGAAGUUACCAAAUCUGUUCACCACAAACCUGAGAAUUCAACUGUGGACAUUUGGACACCAGCAAUGAACAUGAAACUCAGCUUAUGAGGCAUAUUUGGCUAAAGGUCAAGGUGACUUAAAGUUCAUCAUAGGACAUCUACAAUUUGCAAAGCAGGUGACUGGAUAUGGACUCCUUCCAAGUCUCAUUUAAUUGGAUAAUGCCUACGUUUUAAGUAUCAGAAGUGAGUCUUUCUCUAUUAAAUGAAGUCAGUUCCACUAAAA